GGGGCUGAUUCUGGAUUCGACGGGAUUUGCGAAACCCAAGGUGCAUGCCGAGGGGUGGUUGGCCUCGUAAAAAGCCGCAAAAAAUAGUCGCAAACGACGAAAACUACGCUUUAGCAGCUUAAUAACCUGCUUAGAGCCCUCUCUCCCUAGCCUCCGCUCUUAGGACGGGGAUCAAGAGAGGUCAAACCCAAAAGAGAUCGCGUGGAAGCCCUGCCUGGGGUUGAAGCGUUAAAACUUAAUCAGGCUAGUUUGUUAGUGGCGUGUCCGUCCGCAGCUGGCAAGCGAAUGUAAAGACUGACUAAGCAUGUAGUACCGAGGACGUAGGAAUUUCGGACGCGGGUUCAACUCCCGCCAGCUCCACCA
rnacentral:tmRNA from 1 species